rnacentral:rRNA from 1 species
CUACUAGUUGUCGGGUCUUAAUUGACUUGGUAACGCAGCUAACGCGUGAAGUAGACCGCCUGGGGAGUACGGUCGCAAGAUUAAAACUCAAAGGAAUUGACGGGGACCCGCACAAGCGGUGGAUGAUGUGGAUUAAUUCGAUGCAACGCGAAAAACCUUACCUACCCUUGACAUGUACAGAAUCCCGAAGAGAUUUGGGAGUGUUCGAAAGAAAACUGUAACACAGGUGCUGCAUGGCUGUCGUCAGCUCGUGUCGUGAGAUGUUGGGUUAAGUCCCGCAACGAGCGCAACCCUUGUCAUUAGUUGCUACGAAAGGGCACUCUAAUGAGACUGCCGGUGACAAACCGGAGGAAGGUGGGGAUGACGUCAAGUCCUCAUGGCCCUUAUGGGUAGGGCUUCACACGUCAUACAAUGGUACAUACAGAGGGCCGCCAACCCGCGAGGGGGAGCUAAUCCCAGAAAGUGUAUCGUAGUCCGGAUUGUAGUCUGCAACUCGACUACAUGAAGUUGGAAUCGCUAGUAAUCGCGGAUCAGCAUGUCGCGGUGAAUACGUUCCCGGGUCUUGCACUCACCGCCCGUCAAAA